GGGUCUGAAAGUACAGAUCAAGUUGUUAGACUCCUGAAUCCCUAACCACACUCUGAAGAAACUAUGAACAAACACAGUAUAAAGUCACAUUUCUUCCUAAAAGACUAUUAGUUACCCAAAUCUCCUGUUUCAAAUUUACAGGUCAGCAGGCGCUUAUUUCAGUCAAAUGGGUCAGUCCAUUCACAGACAAGACUUAAGAAAAUAUUACCUUUCUACUUAAAGAUUCCAGGAAUUGCACUUUCUGGGCCCAAAGCCUCCCUGCCUGCCCUCACACCUUUUCUACAGCUGCUGGGUCAGACUGAAGCCUGGGGCCGGCCUACACCUCUGCCUUCGAGUCUUAUCUUCAGUUGCCUGGGCUGCCUUCGGCCGGAGGCCCGCCUACCUGCCCAUGCGCCGUUCUUCAGCAGCCCGGCUGCCCGGCUGCCCGCCAUCAGCAGGCCCACAGCAAGAGUGACGGCCAUAUCGGAGUGGCGAGCAGCAGAGAGAGAGCCUCUCCGAGGCUAAUGGCUGAGAAUUGAAGCCCACCGGGAGAGCGAAGAUAGUCACUGCAAUAAAAGACCCAGCAGACUACAGCGGUUGAAGAUAGACCUCAACUGGGGAUCUGCUAAGCUGUUUGUGAAAAUGACUCUGUACACAGACUGAAACACCCAGAGAAUCUGCACCCUCAUGAAGCUAAAGUUAGAUAGAAUGAAACUCAAGUUGAGUAUCCUAAGUUCUGCACCAGAAAUGAAUUCUUUCUACAAGAAGAUUUUUCAGAUAUCCACUAUCCAGGCAUUCUGCUACAUGUUUCUAGAACCUGAUUUUUCUGCAUUUGAAUUCAGAUUACUCAAUAUUCUGUGAAGAUGAAAGGGCUUAGACCCCAGAAAGCCCUGCACCUGCAAAAGAGACGACUGACAGAUAGGAUGGAAGUUCAUUGGCUUUUAAAUAAACUUUGCUGGAAAGCCUAAGGCUUGCUUUAUUCCUGCCUCCGAAGUUUCAAAGGAAAAGUUUCUCCCUGCCAAAUCCCAGGACAAAGAGUAAAUGACCUGCCUAUUCUCUGUCUCUGAGCAAAAGAGCCUGAAGGGACAUGGCACUGGUUGAAAUAAACUUAAUGUGAAGGUUCUGCAGGAAAGUAAAACCUGACUCUGAUGUUGCUCCUGAUUCACUUGUCAAACUCCCCUUGUAGCUUUCUCAGUUGGUGAUUUAAUUCCUCCUUUCCUUUUGUAAUGUUCCUGCCCACCUUCAUUCUGCAUUCUAGUACAUUUGGAAUAAAGACCUGUGCUGAUAGGUUCCUCCAGUUCAAUCUCAAGGCUUCAUGCUGGAAUGCUUCUGGUCUCUCCUCCUCAACACACUUAUAUGUACACAACAGGGUAAGUCCCUGUCAGUGUAGAGAUACCCUGACUU